UACGUAGGGCGCAAGCGUUAUCCGGAAUUAUUGGGUGUAAAGAGCUCGUAGGCGGUUUGUCGCGUCUGCUGUGAAAACCUAAGGCUCAACCUUGGGCUUGCAGUGGGUACGGGCAGACUAGAGUGCGGUAGGGGUGACUGGAAUUCCUGGUGUAGCGGUGGAAUGCGCAGAUAUCAGGAGGAACACCGAUGGCGAAGGCAGGUCACUGGGCCGCAACUGACGCUGAGGAGCGAAAGCGUGGGGAGCGAACAGG
rnacentral:rRNA from 1 species